ACAUGAAUAAUAACAAAUAAAAUUCUAAAUCGAUUUCGAAUAAUGUAUUUCAAAUAUAAAAUGAAGAAAGUUAUUUUAUUUAUAUUUUUUUUCAAAUCAUAUAAUAUGUGUUCCAUACUGUACUAGUCGAAUUUUUGUCUUAAAACUAAUGUGUAUAUUAAGUAAAUAACAUUUUUUAUUUGGAGUGGUAUUCUCAGAUCCAUCUUAGGAUAUUUACAUCUUGUGCAUGAGGAACAAGUUGGCCUGUACAAUUAAAUCUUAUAAAUAUCACGCUCAUAAAUGAAAUAUGAACAGUGAUUGGAGUACAGGACCACCGGUAACAGACGGAAGGUGUCACCCGCAUAACCAGCUGUGUAGCCACCUGUGCGAGUGAAGUCACAACAAUGUUCGUAUAAAUAGAGGCGACAGUAAAGAUUACAAAUUGUAGGGAUCGGACCUCUUCGAAGUAAGGAGUUCACCAAAUCGUCUACGAGGUUACCUUCAAGAGUCUGCGAUCCUGGCGACAUUCAAGAAUAUGGGCAUUGGUGACGUUAGUUAUGCUGACGUCACUCUUUUAAAAUAACGACAAGUGCUUCAUACUCCGACAAAUAUAUAGGCAAAGUCGUAAUAAAUAAUACAAUAACUCAUGAAACGCACACGGAUACGAGAACAUUUCCCGAAGAAUAAUAACAAGGUAUUCAAAAAUGGAUAACUUGAGUAUGUUACUUUAGGUAACGCCAUCUGUUGUCAAUUGUGUGCAACUUAACGAUGAGGUUUAUGGCUGAGUAAGAUUGCCAUGGGUUUUCGUCCCCUAUCCUGCCGCUCACAUAUGUACAUCGGGAGGUGAGUAGUAUUACGAAAGGACUAUAUAAUAUCCUAAAAUAUGUCGAUAAUUUUUUUUUACAAAUGAAUAUUAUUUAGUUAAGGUUUCAACACAUAAAAACAAUUGAUGAAUGAUCGACUAGCUAUUGAUCUCGCAUAAAACAAAGUUUCAAGGUAUUGGCAUUGAAGACACUUGUAAAAAACAAAAUAUGAAAAAUUUAAUCAGAUAAACCUUGAUUUCUUUUUGUGUGUCCAACGGAACGCUCUACUGGUGACUUGGUUCAUUCAUCCACUGAGGUAAUCUCGGCAACCGAAUGACUAAUCGAAAAUUUUUUUUGAUUGAUAGAGUAGUUAUCCGGGGUGGUUAUUAUCAUGACAAAUUUCCAAUGCCAAUUUUAGGGCCGGAAAAGAGAACCUAUUUCCAGAAAAAGCUUCGAUGCUGAACAUAGAGAUCGCUUCAUUAAAUUUACAUCGAGAACUUUGCUCGACCUAAGAGAGAUAAAAAUGCAAAGGUUCAUCUCCUAGUUGAUCAAAGUAUUACAUAAAAAUAAAGACUUAAAGAUGUACAAUUAAGAAAUAAAGCAUGCAUAGGUGAAAUAUAUAUAUGUAUUUGUUAAUUAGUAACACCCUCAAUUCUGUCAUUCAUCAUUGAUAUUUGAUAGACUCUGACGUGGGAUUAAAUUAAUUGCGUCGCGUUGGUACCUUAAUAAACACAACAUGAUAUUAAA